rnacentral:snoRNA from 1 species
ACCUUCUACCAGAUUUUUGUUGGAAUCCAAUGCCAGAGCCAGCGAAAGAAAAGUGCAAGGGAGAUUAAAUGAAUGUGGCAAUCAGAGCGAGGAAUAGGCAUUGACCAUUGCAAUUCCCAUUUGGGGCUACAUCGACA